UUGGGAGAAAGAUGACUAAUCCUUCUCCCAAUUCUGGAUGGUGAACCAAAAGAUGCGAAGAUGACUACUUUUCUGAGUUAAUAGUUUAUCAUUUCAGUACUGUGGAUCUAAACUAUGUGCUUAAUUCAAAUUCCACUAAAAGGUAAUAUCAGCUCCUACAUUCUGCAGGCAUUGUACUAGGAGCCCAAGGGCUACAAAGGUGAAUGAAUCACUCUCCUUACCCUGAGGAGCCAGAACUCUAGGAGAAAUGGAACCCGGUCCACAUCCCCUCUGCAGUUGGAUCCUAGGUCAUCCUGCCUUAACAACCAACCUGUGUUCUCUGUUUCUUCUGUAUCUAUUUCAGGAAGCCCCCAAUAAAUGUUAACCACUUUUCUGAUGACUUGGUGAAAGAGGAAGGCCAAGAUCAUAAUUUAGUCUUGGAAAAAACACUGCAGCUAACCUAGUCUUUGCAUUCAAAGUCAGAGACAGGUAUUUUAGGCUUUUCCUUUUUAAAAUUCUCUACAACUAUUAUGAUUUUAAGAAGGGGAAGAGUUAGAAGCAUUUACAGACUUUUCACAACAAUGACCCUGCCUGUGUGUCAGCCAGGCCCUGGGGAGACAACGGAGACAAAAAACCAAGUCCCUGCACUCAUGGAACUUACUUCUUGGUGAGCUCUCCUGAUGGUUUCUUCUAUAGCAGUGGGGAUGG
rnacentral:lncRNA from 1 species